UGAGGCUGAAAGCAGGAGAGGCCAGGGAGCAGGAAUCCUGUGAUGUCAUACAGACCCGCAGGUGGAGCAUACAGAGGGCGGGGCCAGAAGGCAGAGGGAGGAGGUCAGCACAGUUUACAAUGUGAAGGAAAGAAGCCAAGGUCGGGGCGUGUGGGUGUGUGGGUGUGGGAGAUGCAAAGCCUGGGUUUCUCUGGCCUUGGACAAGACCUCAGUAGCAAGACCAGUAAAAAUUCCUUUAUACAAUGUGGUGAGCAGAUUUUGUUCUUCUGUUUUCUGGAACAAGUGCAUAUUCAAGUUUCACUAAUUUUCCCAAUAAAGAUCCUCAAAGUCUCCCAUCCCCAACCUUCUGCCCUGCAAUCCAGAAUCAUGCAUUUCAGAGUAUUUGUAUGUGAAUAACCCAUAUUUUGGUCUUUUUACUUCCUCCGUUAUGAGAAGAUCUAUCUUUUUGGCGACUGCUGACAUAAAUAUGUAUCAAUUUGAAGGCACUGGGUUUUCAAAUAUUCCUUAACUUAUAGACCACGACUAUACAGUAAAACAUGACAUCACCAAGAAAUUAGGUAUAGUUCUGUUGAAUCCUGUUCCUAAGUUUCAGGUGUACAGCACAAUAAUUCAGUUGAAGCUGAUCGGUUUUAUGAAGACCAACACCCUCGAGAACUAACACCAAAAAAGGAUGUCCUUUUUACCAUAGGGGAUUGGAAUGCAAACGUAGGAAGUCAAGAGAUACCCAGAAUAAAAGGCAAGUUUGGCCCUGGAGUGCAAAAAGAAACAGGGCAAAGACUAACAGAGUUUUGUCAAGAGAACACGUUGGUCAUAGCAAGCACCCUUUUCCAACAACUCAAGAGACAACUCUACACAUGGACAUCACCAGAUGGUCAAUACUGACAUGAGAUUGAUUAUGUUCUUUGCAGUCAAAGAUGGGGAAGCUCCAUACAGUCAGCAAAAACAAGACCUGGAGCUGCCAGUUGCUCAGCUCAUAAGUUCCUUAUUGCAAAAUUCAGGCUGAAAUUGAAGAAAGUAGGAAAAACCAAUAGGCCAUUCAAGUAUGACCUAAAUCAAAUCACAGUGGAGGUGAUGAAUAGAUUCAAGGGAUUAGAACUGGGAAGCAGAGUUAUUGAAGAACUAAGGACAGAGGUUUGUAAUACUGUACAGGAGGCAGUGACCAAAACCUUUCCCAAGAGAAAGAAACACAAGAAGGGAAAAUGGUUGUCUGAGGAGGUUAUACAAAUAGCUAAGGAAAGAAGAGAAGUGAAAGAAAGGGAGAAAAGGAAAGAUAUACUCAGAGAUCAGAGUUCCAGAGAAUAGCAAAGAGAGAUAAGAAGGCCUUCCUCAAUGAACACUGUGAAGAAAUAGAGGAAAACAAUAGAAUGGAUAAAGACUAGAGAUCUCUUCAAGAAAAUUGGAGGUAUCAAGGGAAUAUCUCAUGCAAGGGUGGGCACCAUAGACAGAAAUGGUAAGGACCUUACAGAAGCAAAAGAGAUUAGGAAGAGGUGGCAAGAAUACAUGGAAGAACUAAACAAAAAGGUCUUAAUGAUCUGGAUAACCAUGAUGGUGUGGUCACUCACCUAGAACCAGACAUCCUGAAGUGUGAAGUCUGGUGGACUUAGGAAGCAUCACUUCAAACAACACUAGUGGAGCUGAGCUCUUUAAAAUCCUGAGAUGAUGCUUUCCAGCUGAGCUAUUUCAAAUACUAAAAGAUGAUGCUGUUAAAGUGCUGCAUUCAAUAUAUUAGCCAAUUUGGGAAACUCUGCAGGGUGACAGGACUGGAAAAGGUGUUCUCAUUCCAAUCCCAAAGAAGGGCAACGCCAAAUAAUGUUCAAGUGUGUUAAUUGCUUAGUUGUGUCUGAUUCUUUGCGACCCCACGGACUGUAGCCUGCCAGGCUCCUCUGUCCACAAAAUUUUUCAGGCGAGAAUACUAAAGUGAAUAUCCAUUCUCUUCUCCAGGGGAUUUUCCUGACCCAGGGAUCGAACCCCAGUCUUCUGCAUUGCAGGCAGAUCCUUUACCAUCUGAGGCACCAGGGAAGCCCCAAAAUGUUCAAACUACUGUACAACUGUGCUCAUUUCACAUGCUAGCAAAAUUAUGCUCAAAAUCCUUCAAGUUAGGCUUCAGCAGUACAUGAACUGAGAUAUUUCAGAUGUACAAGCUAGGUUUCAAAGAGCCAGAAGAACCAGAGAUCAAAUUGCCAACAUUUGUUGGAUCAUGGAGAAAGCAAAAGAGUUCCAGAAAAACAUCUACUUCUGCUUCGUUGACUAUGCUAAAGCCUUUGACGGUGUGGAUCACAAUAAACCAUGCAAAAUUCUUAAAGAGAUAGGAGUACCAGACCAUCUUACCUGUUUCCUGAGAAACCUGUAUGUGGACCAAGAAGCAGCAGUUAGAACCAGACAUGGAGCCACUGACUGGUUCCAAACUGGGAAAGGAGUUUGACAAGGCUGUAAAUUGUCACCCUGCUUAUUUAACUUACAUGCAGAGUAAAUCAUGCAAAAUGCCAGGCUGGAUGAAUCACAAUCUAGAACCAAGAUUGCCAGGAGAAAUAACAACCUCAGAUAUGCAGAUGAUACCACUCCAAUGGCAGAAAUCGAAGAGAAACUAAAGAGCCUCUUGAUGAGGGUGAAAGAGGAGAGUGGAAAAAGCUGACUGGAAACUCAAUAUUCGAAAAACUAAAAGCAUGGCAUCCAGUCCCAUCACUUCAUGGCAAAUAGAUGGAGAAAAAGUGGAAACAGUGACAUUUUAUUUUGGGGGACUUCAAAAUCAUUGUGAACAACAGUGACUGCAGUUAUGAAAUUUGAAGACGUUGGCUCCUUGGAAGAAAAGCUAUGACAAACUUAGACAGCGUAUUAAAAAGCAGAGACAUCACUUUGUUGACAAAAGUCUGUCUAGUCAAAGCUAUGGUUUUUUCAGUAGUCAUGUAUGGAUGUGAGAGUUGGACCAUAAAGAAGGCCAAAUCCUAAAGAACUGAUGCUUUUGAAUUGUGCUGUUGAAGACUCUUGAGAGUCCCUUGGACUGCAAGGAAAUCAAACCAGUCAAUGCUAAACAAAAUCAACCCUGAGUAUUCAUUGAAAGGACUCUUGCUGAAGCUCUAAUACUUUGGCAGCUGAUAUGAAGAGAUUCAUUGGAAAAGACCCUGAUGCUGGGAAAAACCGAAGACAAAAGAAGAAGAGGGCGGCAGAGAAUGAGAUGGUUAGAUAACAUCACUGACUCAAUGAACAUGAAUUUGAGCAAACUCUGGGAGGUAGUGGAGGACAGAGGAGCCUGGUGUGCUACAGUCCAUGGGGUUGCAAAGAGUUGGACAUGACUUACCUACUGAACAACAAUAGCAAAAUAUAUAUAUAUAUAUAUAAAAUACCUAUAUAUCCAUCUACCUAUUCUUCUUUAGAUUCUCUUUCCUUGUAAGUUAUAUAUAUCACAUCUGUAUCCAUUCAUCUGUCAAUGGACAUUUAGGUUGCUUCCAUGUCUUGGCUAUUGUAAACAGUGCUGCAAUGAACACUGGGGUGCAGGUAUCUUUUCUCUAGUUAUAUGCCCAGGAAUGGGAUUGGAGGAUCAUAUGGUAAUUCUACUUUAAGUUUUUUAAGGAACCUCCAUAUUGUUCUCCAUAAUGGUUGUACCAAGUUACUUUCCCACCACAGUGUAGGAGGGUUCCAUUUUUGCCACACCUCUCCAGCGUUUAUUAUUUGUAGACUUUCUGAUGAUGGCCAUUCUGGCUGGUGUGAGGUGAUACCUCACUGUACUUUUGAUUUGCACCUCUCUAAUAAUUAAUUCUGUCGAGCAUUUUUUCAUGUACCUAUUUGCCGUCUGUAUUUCUCCUUUGGAGAAACGUCUAUUUAGAUCUUCUGUCCAGUUUUUGAUUGGGUUGGUUGAUUUUUUAUAUUGAGCUGUAUAGGCUGUUUGGGUAUUUUGGAAAUUAAUCCCUCGUUGGUCACAUUAUUUACAAAUGGGAGAAAAUAUCAAUAUUUGCAAAUAUGACCAAUGAGGAAUUAGCUUCCAAAAUAUACAAACGGUCAUUGAUUUCCUAAAAAAGAUUUGAAACAAGUAAGGCAAAAUAUUAAGAUUUAAUAAACCUGGGUGUUCAGGCAAGGAUGUUUUUUAGUCUUUAUGUCUAAAUAUGUAACUGUUAAAAUAAAAUAAAAAUCAUUAAAUGGAUUUUUAUUAAAUGGAUUUAAAUCAGUAAAUGGAUUUUAAAAAAUAUUAAGUAUAGGAAGAAAAUCAGUUGUUACUUGCCCAAAGAACCAGAUAUAAUUAAUAAUACCUGAUUCCAUUAGAACUAGACAGAAUUAAAACUUAUUCUAUCAUCUCUAUAUGGAUUAUGAGAAUAAGAAGUUUGAUCCGAAGAGUAGCAUUCUAUAAUUGGCAGCAUGAGGGAUCUAGAGUACAUUUUACAUUGUUAUAAUUCAUAUUAAACAUUUCUAACACACAGAAAACAUAGAGUCAUACUUAUGGACUGACUUAAGUUCCACCAUUCUUUUCCCUCCUCAGAUGUAAUUAUUAUCUUAAAGUCAGUGCAUAUCAUUUCUCACCAUGUUUUGAGAAAUGUCCUUGUGAGAUAUCAUAAAAUAUUUAAAUCUGUCUAAUAACACAAUGAAUGUUUUUUUUUGGGAAUUCAAAGAUUCACUAAUAAUAUUCACUGGACUGUCAUAACUAUUCACAAAACACUUAAAGUUUUUAAAGGCCAAGGAUGCUUUCACAUUCUACUUGGUACCAAGGGCGGAAUCGGUGUGGUAUGUGUGAGUUACACCACGUGUGUUGAACAGAUGGGCAGUCAGAGGUGAAAACCUCCCUAAGUGUUCAGGACAUGGACAUUAGAGAAUUGGUACUUCUUUGUUUCAUCUUAGAGGAAAAAACCCCAGAAGUUCCUGUGUUGAAGGUAGAACUUAUUUGCUCUGCUUUAUCUAUCAUGGCCCUGUGUCUGUGCUGGUAUUUGUUCCAGGCUCCAAGAGUAGCAGUCUUUAAACUGGGGUUCUUAUAUUUCUGGGUACCCAGGCACAGAAAAUUGUAAGGGAAUCUAGAUGCCCAACACCUACCUGCACACUGACUGUAACAGUACUUACUGCUCUUACUCUUUCCCACCGCCCUCUCAUAAUAAUUUUCCUCUCACUUUACACAAGAAAGGCAUACAGCUUGCCUAUCCCAAGUAUAACUACAGUACUUUGACCUGAGUACUAAAGGAAAGGACAAUUCAAAACCUGCAUCCGUGAAGCCUUCUUUCAUUGCAGCGCUGUGUCUUCUUUGUCUCAUGUCUUAUUUCUGUUAAGGGCAAUGACCCUGAGACACUUUGCUCCCCAGGAAACAUCUGCAGUAUCUGUAGACAUUUUUGGUUGUCUCUGGGGUCGGAGAUGGGUGCUCCUGGCAUCUAGUGGGCAGAGGUGGGGGGAUGCUACACCAUACAUCUUACAUGGUACGGGACAGCCCCCUACAGUGAAGAAUUGUUGAACCUCAGAUGUCAAUAAUACUUGGAAAAAACACCAUUUGAAGCAACAUGGAUGGACCUUAAGAUGAUCGUACUAAGUGAAGUAAGUCAGACAAAGACAAAUAUCAUAUGAUACCACUUACAUUGUGGAAACUAAAAAAAUGAUACAAACGAACUUAUUUACAAUACAGAAUUAGACUAACAGACAUAGGAAACGAACGUAUGGUUACCAAAGGGUAAAGUGGUAGGGAGAGACAAAUUGGGAAUCUGGGAUUAACAGAUACAUACCACUAUAUAUAAAAUAAUAAGGAUCUACUGCAUAGUACAGGGAACUACAUUCAGUAUUUUAUAAUCUCUAAUGGAAAAGAAUCUGAACAAGAAUAUGUAUGUGUGUGUAUGUAACUGAAUCGCUCUGCUUUACACCUGAAACAUUGUAAAUCAACUAUUCAAUUAAAAAGGAUAACUAAUGCUUCAGGUUGACUGGGAACCUUGCGUUAAGGGUGAGGUGGCUCUUAUUAGAAAAAAAAGGAGCUUUGGCCUACCUUACAAUAUUCCAGAGUGAUGUAAUCUCUCCGUGGAGAAGCUGGGAUGCUGAAAAAUUUUCAUCUGAUGAUUUUGAUGCUUCCUUUCUGAUAGUGAUAAAGAAUGAAUAGCUCCUUGGCAUUGGCAAGAAAUACUGAUCGUAGUGGUGAUUUCAUUCAAGUGACAAACUCAAGGCAAGGUUCCAAUCCUUACCUGUUUCAAGAUUAGGAUAUGUAAUUUAUAAAACCAUGGAAAGAAACAGUAACUUGCGGCAAAGCAGUCUAAGCUAACAAAGACUCACUCGUAUCUCACCGGUACUUCACUUGCUUAGUUCGCAUGAUUUCGAGGCAGUGAAGGCAAAAGUCUCAACACUCAUUUCUGACUGAUCGACACCACAUUUUGUAGUAAAAGAAACACGUAUCCGGGGUAUUUUAAUAUAUAUUUUCUUAAACUUAUUCAGACUCAUAGGAGAAAUGUUUUAACUUCUACCAAAUAUUACUGGAUUGUAGGAAUACAUUUUUCUGCUUGGGUUCUGGUCUAUGAUAGACUGUUAUUUCUCGGCUCAUUUAUCUAUUAUCAUAUACUGACCAGAUUCACAUUAAUCUGAUGAAAAGAUCUUGUGAAUUCUGCUUUACAUAAUGCACACAGCAAUCAGGGAUAGGAUUUCUGUAAUACACUGAUGACCUAAUACUUUCUUUUCAUUUUGCUGUUGAUUUUCAUUAAGUAGAUUAAAUGGUGAUCUUAAAAGCAGAAAGCCACUUACGAAUAAAUACAAAACAAAAUGUUCC
ensembl:lncRNA